UGGUAGAGCACGACCUUGCCAAGGUCGGGGUCGCGAGUUCGAGUCUCGUUUCCCGCU
rnacentral:tRNA from 1 species